rnacentral:rRNA from 1 species
AUGAACGCUGGCGGCGUGCCUAACACAUGCAAGUCGAGCGAUUUACUUCGGUAAAGAGCGGCGGACGGGUGAGUAACGCGUGGGUAACCUGCCCUGUACACACGGAUAACAUACCGAAAGGUAUGCUAAUACGAGAUAAUAUGCUUUUAUCGCAUGGUAGAAGUAUCAAAGCUCCGGCGGUACAGGAUGGACCCGCGUCUGAUUAGCUAGUUGGUAAGGUAACGGCUUACCAAGGCGACGAUCAGUAGCCGACCUGAGAGGGUGAUCGGCCACAUUGGAACUGAGACACGGUCCAAACUCCUACGGGAGGCAGCAGUGGGGAAUAUUGCACAAUGGGCGAAAGCCUGAUGCAGCAACGCCGCGUGAGCGAUGAAGGCCUUCGGGUCGUAAAGCUCUGUCCUCAAGGAAGAUAAUGACGGUACUUGAGGAGGAAGCCCCGGCUAACUACGUGCCAGCAGCCGCGGUAAUACGUAGGGGGCUAGCGUUAUCCGGAAUUACUGGGCGUAAAGGGUGCGUAGGUGGUUUCUUAAGUCAGAGGUGAAAGGCUACGGCUCAACCGUAGUAAGCCUUUGAAACUGGGAAACUUGAGUGCAGGAGAGGAGAGUGGAAUUCCUAGUGUAGCGGUGAAAUGCGUAGAUAUUAGGAGGAACACCAGUUGCGAAGGCGGCUCUCUGGACUGUAACUGACACUGAGGCACGAAAGCGUGGGGAGCAAACAGGAUUAGAUACCCUGGUAGUCCACGCCGUAAACGAUGAGUACUAAGUGUUGGGAGUCAAAUCUCAGUGCUGCAGUUAACGCAAUAAGUACUCCGCCUGAGUAGUACGUUCGCAAGAAUGAAACUCAAAGGAAUUGACGGGGGCCCGCACAAGCAGUGGAGUAUGUGGUUUAAUUCGAAGCAACGCGAAGAACCUUACCUAAGCUUGACAUCCUUUUGACCGAUGCCUAAUCGCAUCUUUCCCUUCGGGGACAGAAGUGACAGGUGGUGCAUGGUUGUCGUCAGCUCGUGUCGUGAGAUGUUGGGUUAAGUCCCGCAACGAGCGCAACCCUUGCCUUUAGUUGCCAGCAUUAAGUUGGGCACUCUAGAGGGACUGCCAGGGAUAACCUGGAGGAAGGUGGGGAUGACGUCAAAUCAUCAUGCCCCUUAUGCUUAGGGCUACACACGUGCUACAAUGGGUGGUACAGAGGGCAGCCAAGUCGUGAGGCGGAGCUAAUCCCUUAAAGCCAUUCUCAGUUCGGAUUGUAGGCUGAAACUCGCCUACAUGAAGCUGGAGUUACUAGUAAUCGCAGAUCAGAAUGCUGCGGUGAAUGCGUUCCCGGGUCUUGUACACACCGCCCGUCACACCACGGGAGUUGGGGGCGCCCGAAGCCGGAUUGCUAACCUUUUGGAAGCGUCCGUCGAAGGUGAAAUCAAUAACUGGGGUG